AGCUACUCCUGUCAGUCAUAGACAGACAUCAGCACUAAGUCACCAGCGAAGAAGAGGUAGAAUGGGUACGGGCCUAGUUUGCUAAUUUUUAUGGGGUCCCACAUACUAGUGUUGAGGUCAUUGUUUAUGUUAUGGGCCAAGACUUCCAUGCAGAGAAUAAAAUGGACGGUGAUAUUGGAUCUCCCUGACAAAUCUCCCUAGAGGGACUGAAAAAGUCAGUCCUCGUACCAUUGACUAAAACUGCUACGGAUAGUACAAAUACAGGACAUUAUGAUGUUUAUAAUAUGGUGAGGGAAGUUAAAGUAAUGUAAUGUGUGCCUAAUAAAGGACUAUUCCGGCUUAUCAAAUGCCUUUUCUAAGACUAUUUUCAUAAUGACACUGCCC
rnacentral:lncRNA from 1 species